rnacentral:rRNA from 1 species
UACGUAGGGGGCUAGCGUUGUCCGGAAUCAUUGGGCGUAAGCGCGUGUAGGCGGUCCGGUAAGUCCGCUGUGAAAGUCGGGGGCUCAACCCUCGGAUGCCGGUGGAUACUGUCGGGCUUGAGUACGGAAGAGGCGAGUGGAAUUCCUGGUGUAGCGGUGAAAUGCGCAGAUAUCAGGAGGAACACCAAUUGCGAAGGCAGCUCGCUGGGACGUACUGACGCUGAGACGCGAAAGCGUGGGGAGCAAACAGG